rnacentral:misc_RNA from 1 species
AUUCAGUUGAUAUAGUAUACAAAAGAGUGCUGCGCGGAGGGGCUAAAUAUCCACAAGGUGAGCGGUAGUUGCGAAGCGUUUAAACAAUCAGUAUAAUAAUAUUUUUCGUAACACACAAUGUUAAACAGGGCGCCAGUUUUUAUUUUUACCAGGAAAAAAUAGUACCUACCAUGGUCCUGACCGGAAAAAUCAUCAUACGAAUUGUGUUCGCGAUUUGUUUUGUGCUGCUUCUUAUUUCGGAUUAUUCGGGUUUAAUUAAUAAACUCAUCGGAGGAAACAAGACUGAAGAAAACAAACAUACUGCACCGAGACCAACUAAUCCUGGAUAUGGAGACUCAAAGGCAGAUAUCGAUAUCGAUGCAGACAUUGAAGAGGAAUCGGUAAGACAUUUAGCUUCACAGACGACAAGAUCGCAUAUUUUGCAAACCAUUAAAAAUGCGUGUCUACCGAAGCUGAUCUGUGAAUUAACUGCAACUCCACAGAAAGAAAAACUGACGGAGACUGAGAAGUCUUUGCUGAAUUUACUCAGGGAAACAACUAUAAGCACUACGGCCGAAUUGACCUCUAAAUAUCACUUUGCUGCACACAUGGGCCAGCUAAUCGCCGGAGUUGACGGAAAUGGUUGCCAUAACUUUUACCCAACAUGCCCUUUUCCUGGAUUGCAGGUUCUUCAGAUGAUGAAAAAAGUCCGGAUGCGCUGAAACUUUGAUGAAACUCAGGAUGCCAAACUUUAUAUAUUCUGGACCUUAGAACAACUCAGCCCAUUUUCCUGCGAUCGGUCUUUGAAGGACUGAACCAAAGGAAACCUUCACAAAGAAGACGUUUCUCUCUAUUGUAUAAAUUGAUACUUUAACAAGACUCUGUGAUAAAACCUUUUUAAAGGCGAAUCGUAGUUGGGAUGUAAGCAAAAUUAGUUUGUAAAAUAUAGUUAAGUGCAAAUAAAAAUUAAACUGAUC